CACAUCUCCUUCCAUCUCUCUCUCUCCCUCUCUCUUUCUGUGUGUGUGUAUCAGUCCCAUCCCACUGUUUAUUGUUUACCAAUAUCAUCUCAACACAAACUGACAGGCUGGAUUCCCUCCAUCUCUACCUCUAACCUGAUUCUCUGCUCAGCUCUGGGGCUGGGGCCUGGAGGUUUGGCUCCCUGACCAGGCCUUGCAGCUUGCUGGACGUCUGGGGCUGGAGGUUUGGCUCCCUGACCAGGCCUUGUAGCUGGCUGGAGGUCUGGGGCUGAGGCUGAAGGCUGGGACCUAGAGCCUGCUUGGACCAGGGUGUGGUCGAAGCAGCUCACUGGUGUGUACAAAGGCCCGCACAGAGGAUGGCUGCCAGGGAAAACAGAAGAGGUGGCAGCAGUGCCUCUUCAGCCUCAGGAGGUUGAAGAAAUUUGGCUUGUCACCAAAAGCACUCACAAACUUCUAUAGAUGCACAAUCGAGAGCAUCCUGGCAGGCUGUAUCACCGCCUGGUACGGCAACUGCUCCGCCCACAACUGUAAGGCUCUCCAGAGGGUAGUGAUGCACAACGCAUCACCGGGGCCAAACUACCUGCCUUCCAGGACACAUUCACCAA
ensembl:lncRNA